rnacentral:lncRNA from 1 species
GGAGGCUCGCAGGUCUAAACCAAAUUUUUAAUUUAAUAUAGGAUUUCUCUAUAUUUUUCUAUAAAUGAACUUUAUUUUAUACUUAAUAGAAAAAUGAAAUAAAAAAAUGGGGUCACCGUUCAUUUACGCUCACAAUCUGCCUUCGAAAGAAGCAUACAUUUUUGUUAAUGUCAUUUUUUUCUGUUGAAUAAAUAGGAGAAUUAGCGGUAAUAACGAAAUAAAAAAAGAACUAAAUUACAAAAAUCGCUUAAAUUUUACAAUUAUUUAGUUUAUGUACAGCUUAUUCGAAAACAACAAUAAAACAUGUAGGUCACCGAUGAGCUAAAAAAGAUAUUCAAUUUUAAUGCCAAAAAAAUGGCAUUUUUGAACCAAAGGGAGAUAAUUUGGAGCUUUUUCAAUGAUAUCUACAUUUUUAAAGUCACCUGGGGCCAACACGAA